rnacentral:rRNA from 1 species
GAAUUGACGGGGGCCCGCACAAGCAGUGGAGUAUGUGGUUUAAUUCGAAGCAACGCGGAGAACCUUACCAGGGCUUGACAUACCGAUGACCGGGUUAGAAAUAACCCUUCCCUUCGGGGCAUUGGAUACAGGUGGUGCAUGGUUGUCGUCAGCUCGUGUCGUGAGAUGUUGGGUUAAGUCCCGCAACGAGCGCAACCCUUGUUGUUAGUUGCCAGCACGUGAUGGUGGGCACUCUAACGAGACUGCCGGUGAUAAAUCGGAGGAAGGUGGGGAUGACGUCAAAUCAUCAUGCCCCUUAUGUCCUGGGCUACACACGUGCUACAAUGGCGACCACAGAGGGAAGCAAAGCCGCGAGGUUGAGCAAAUCCCGAAAAGUCGUCCCAGUUCAGAUUGCAGGCUGCAACUCGCCUGCAUGUAGGCGGAAUUGCUAGUAAUGGCAGGUCAGCAUACUGCCGUGAAUACGUUCCCGGGCCUUGUACACACCG